ACGGGUGAGUAAUGCCUAGGAAUCUGCCUGGUAGUGGGGGACAACGUUUCGAAAGGAACGCUAAUACCGCAUACGUCCUACGGGAGAAAGCAGGGGACCUUCGGGCCUUGCGCUAUCAGAUGAGCCUAGGUCGGAUUAGCUAGUUGGUGAGGUAAUGGCUCACCAAGGCGACGAUCCGUAACUGGUCUGAGAGGAUGAUCAGUCACACUGGAACUGAGACACGGUCCAGACUCCUACGGGAGGCAGCAGUGGGGAAUAUUGGACAAUGGGCGAAAGCCUGAUCCAGCCAUGCCGCGUGUGUGAAGAAGGUCUUCGGAUUGUAAAGCACUUUAAGUUGGGAGGAAGGGUUGUAGAUUAAUACUCUGCAAUUUUGACGUUACCGACAGAAUAAGCACCGGCUAACUCUGUGCCAGCAGCCGCGGUAAUACAGAGGGUGCAAGCGUUAAUCGGAAUUACUGGGCGUAAAGCGCGCGUAGGUGGUUCGUUAAGUUGGAUGUGAAAUCCCCGGGCUCAACCUGGGAACUGCAUCCAAAACUGGCGAGCUAGAGUAUGGUAGAGGGUGGUGGAAUUUCCUGUGUAGCGGU
rnacentral:rRNA from 4 species